CGAGAGUCCUAAGUUUCCUCUUUUUUCGUUUGUAAGUUAAUUGACCGACGAUUGUUCGUCGUCAUUUUUUAUACGUUAAACCGGGGAAUAAUUAGAAAGACGUGAAAAGGAUCGAGGAAACAACUGUGAGAGAAAGGAGCAGAAGGAUAGGACUGCACAAAAAAAGUGAAAGAACAUAAAGUUAUGGAGAGAAAUGGAGAUUAUGUUAUAUCUAUAUAUAUAGUAAUCUACGUAAUAAUAUAGCGAGAUCAUAAAAUCAGACGAGAGAAUGGUCGGAAAUCUGAAGAAAAUUCGAAACCACAAUCAGUCAUGAAUUAAUCUAGCAAAAAGAAGUCUUUGGAAGAAAAUUUCUAAAAGUGUGAAUGAUAAUCAAGUAAUUGACUAAAGUAAUUU